rnacentral:misc_RNA from 1 species
GAGAACCAAGAGAUCCGUUGUUGAAAGUUUUGAUUUAAAUGAUUCGAAUAAAAAAAUUUAUUUUUUUGUUCGCAAAUGCAAAGUGUAUAAUUCUUUUUAAUGAUCCUU